ACAUAUACACGCGCGCGCGCGCGCGCCCUCUCUCUCUCUCUCCCGGAAAUCCAUGAUUUCCUUUUCUUUUUACUUUAAAAGCCCCAGACGCGAGUAACGUGGCCGAACUUUCAGACGCAAAAUAACCGCUAUCCAAUUAGAUCGCCUGUGCCGCUCGUGACGGGAUGGCCAGUGGCGUGAUCGCCGGCGUCGUACUCCUCGACCUCGUGCGGGACGUCGUGAGUGCCGGGCCUGCCGCCUCCGGCAUUUCCGCUGGGGACGCGUCGGUGCCGUUGUUCAGGAAGGACUGCACCGAUCUGGUCCGUCGGAUCGCGCUGCUCGCGCAUUUGCUUGAGGAGAUCAGGGACUUCGGCGAAGGCCAUUCUCGGCCGUUGGAUGCGUCGGCUUCUUCUUCUUCUUCGUCGUCCUCCGAUCUGGUGGUGGCCCUCCGGGCCGCCAAGCGCCUCUUAUUGCACGCCGGAAACUUCCAUUCCAAUAGCUCUUCCGAUGAAGCUGCUUGGAGAAUUGCCUCGCAAUUCCAAUGGGUGACAUGGAAGUUGGAGAAAGCACUAGGCGGCAUACCCUAUGAUCAUUUUGACAUCUCGGAGGAAGUUCAAGAACAGGUGGAGUUGGUGAGAUCACAGCUGAGAAGAGCCUCAGAGAGAUAUGGGCCUUUCAAUUCAAAAAUGUUAUCUCAUGCCUUAGUCCAGCUGCUGGAUGAAGAAAUUGAUCAGGGGCAAUCGGACAACAGGGUAAUUGGAAGUUUGCGUGUUCAGAACUGUGGUAGUAUUGAUGGCGAAAAUAUGUCGAAGCUGGAUGCUGUUCCAGAAAGUGAUGGCUCAGAAAGCUGUGGUGCAGAUCUGAUAAGUUAUAAAUCUGAGAGGCUUGGAAACUCUUCUGAUCCUUCUGAGGCCUGUCUAGCAAAUGGCAUUGAUGUUGAUGGACAAGACAAUUCAGCCACCAACAGUUUAGAGGAAAUCAAGAAGUCUGAUCCAAUUGUAAUUCCUGAAGAUUUUCUUUGCCCUAUAUCCUUGGAACUCAUGAGGGAUCCCGUUAUUGUGGCCACAGGACAGACGUACGAGAGAUCUUUCAUACAGAGAUGGAUAGAUUCUGGAAAUGCAACAUGUCCAAAAACACAGCAGAAGCUUGAAAAUUUAACACUCACUCCAAAUUAUGUUAUCAGAAGUCUAAUUACUCAGUGGUGUGCUCAGCACAAUAUUGAGCAGCCAACAGGACUUAUAAAUGGAAAAAUAAAAAAGAGUGAUGGAUCAUUUCGUGAUGUUACUGGUGACUUAGCAGCCAUUCAAGCUCUAGUGCGCAAGCUCUCAAGCCGGUCCAUUGAGGAGCAUAGAGCGGCUGCAGCUGAAAUCCGGUCACUAUCCAAAAGAAGCACAGAUAACAGAGUACUAAUAGCAGAAUCUGGAGCCAUUCCAUUUCUGGUCAACCUUUUAACAACAGAAGAUGUGUUGACGCAAGAAAAUGCGGUUACUUCCAUUCUCAACCUCUCAAUAUAUGAAAACAACAAGGGACUCAUAGUGCUUGCCGGAGCAAUUCCUUCAAUUGUCCAAGUCCUCAGAAAUGGAAGCACGGAAGCUAGAGAGAAUGCAGCAGCAACCCUCUUUAGCUUGUCACUUGGAGAUGAGAACAAAAUAAUUAUAGGUGCAUCGGGUGCAAUCCCAGCUUUGGUGGAAUUGCUCCAACACGGAAGUGCUAGAGGGAAGAAGGAUGCUGCAACAGCAUUGUUUAAUUUGUGCAUUUAUCAGGGGAACAAGGGCAGGGCGGUGAGGGCAGGGAUCAUCACAGCAUUAUUGGUGAUGCUUACAGAUUCAAGCAAUUGCAUGGUUGAUGAAGCCCUAACUAUAAUGUCGGUUCUUGCCAGCCACCCGGAGGCAAAAGUUGCUAUUGUAAAGGCUAGCACUAUUCCUGUUUUGAUCGAUCUUCUUAGAACGGGACUGCCUCGCAAUAAAGAAAACGCAGCUGCAAUUUUACUUGCCUUGUGCAAGAGAGAUACUGACAAUCUUGCCUGCAUAAGUAGGCUUGGUGCUCUCAUACCCUUGACGGAGCUUGCUAAGAGUGGAACAGAGAGGGCCAAACGGAAGGCUACUUCAUUGUUGGAGCAUCUUCGGAAGUUGCAGAAGCUACAACAGCCAACAGGGCCCAAUUGUGCUUAAGAUCAAUAGCAAAAAGCAGAUUUUGCCAACACUUUGUUAAAGCAAAUAAAUCAUGUACACUUGGGAUAUUAUGACCGAAGCUCGCCGCAACAGUUGUAAUUGCGGGACCAUGGGCGUCCUCUAUUUUAUGGAUUUUGUUUAUAACUUGUGACGCCUGUGUCACUUGUUAUUGGAUAUAGUCAUUUAUGUUAUGUAUUUAAUUUGAGGAAAUACUUAAAUAAAUAGAUGUAAUGUUGCCUCUUGAUUAUGAUUAAUUUAUGAUAGAUAUUUAAGAUGUGAUUUCUGCUA